ACACUCUCCCAUAAUUCUUCCAGAUUUCAGGGCAUCAGUCUGUGUUCAUCAACGAGCCACGCCUGUCAGACUUCAAGCAGGUUCUGCUGAGAGAGGGAAUCCAGGCUGAGUUCGUGGGAGGAGUGCUGGUUUGCAAUAACAUGGUGGCCGUCCGCAGGACGGAAGCUGGGCGUAUCGGUCUGGAAGGCUGCCUGUGCCAUGAUUACUACAAGAUCAGAGAUUUGCUCUAUCAGCAGUAUGCUGUGGUGUAAUGUGCCGCCUCAGUACAGACUGAACCCAGACACCUUUGCCCUGUGGGUGGCUCCAGCUGUUCCACUCAAAACAUUGUACUUUUUCUACUUUUGGUCAUGGUUGUUAUUAUUUUUAUUUGCCUGUUUACCUUUGUGACUUGAAGUGUAGAUGCUGGACAGUCUCCUUAUCGCCGUGCCCACCCUACUGUACAGUAGUUCUUAUGAAAUGUUUGGAUUCCUCAUCUCACAAUCUCAUUAAAACAAUAUCUUUCAAAUAUG